AAUCGAUGAAAUGUGCUCACUCAUUACCAGUAACACUUGGAUACCAGAGAUCUAACGGUGGUUAUGAGAAGUUGUCCUGAAAUAGAUA